UGACCUAGCGGCGGACGGGUGAGUAAUACUUAGGAAUCUGCCUAUUAAUGGGGGACAACAUCUCGAAAGGGAUGCUAAUACCGCAUACGCCCUACGGGGGAAAGCAGGGGAUCACUUGUGACCUUGCGUUAAUAGAUGAGCCUAAGUCGGAUUAGCUAGUUGGUGGGGUAAAGGCCUACCAAGGCGACGAUCUGUAGCGGGUCUGAGAGGAUGAUCCGCCACACUGGGACUGAUACACGGCCCAGACUCCUACGGGAGGCAGCAGUGGGGAAUAUUGGUCAAUGGUCGGAAGACUGAACCAGCCAUGCCGCGUGCAGGAAGACGGUCCUAUGGAUUGUAAACUGCUUUUAUUUGGGAAUAAACACU
rnacentral:rRNA from 1 species